UACAGAGGGUGCAAGCGUUGUUCGGAAUUAUUGGGCAUAAAGGGCGCGUAGGCGGUUCGGCAAGUCUCUAGUGAAAUCUCUGGGCUCAACUCAGAGUCUGCUGGGGAAACUGCCGGGCUUGAGUGUGGGAGAGGAGAGUGGAAUUCCCGGUGUAGCGGUGAAAUGCGUAGAUAUCAGGAGGAACACCGAUGGCGAAGGCAGGUCUCUGGGCCGAUACUGACGCUGAGGAGCGAAAGCGUGGGGAGCGAACAGG
rnacentral:rRNA from 1 species